CCUACGGGAGACUGCAGUGAGGAAUAUUGGUCAAUGGGAGAGAUCCUGAACCAGCCAAGCCGCGUGAGGGAAGACGGCCCUAUGGGUUGUAAACCUCUUUUGUCGGAGAACAAAACCCGGGACGUGUCCCGGACUGCGUGUAUCCGACGAACACGCAUCGGCAAACUCCGGACCAGCAGCCGCGGUAAUCCGGAGUAUGCGAACGUUAUCCGGAUUCAUGGGGUUUAUAGUGCGCGUAGGCGGUCCGUUAGGCCAGCGGUAAAAUUGCGGGGCUCAACCCCGUCGAGCCGUUGAAACUGGGAGACUUGAGUAGGCGAGAAGUACGCGGAAGGCGCGGUGUAGCGGUGAAAUGCAUAGAUAUCGCGCAGAACUCCGGUUGCGAAGGCAGCGUACCGGCGCCAGACUGACGCUGAGGCACGAAAGCGUGGGGAUCGAAAGGGAUUAGAUACCCUGGUAGUC
rnacentral:rRNA from 1 species